UGUGAGGUGAUUCAUCAUAAUGAUCCCAAUCGCGAAAGCGAUACGUCGUUAGAAUUUCUGCCCUAUCAGCUUUGGAUGGUAGUGUAGUGGACUACCAUGGCUUUUGCGGGUGACGGGGAAUUAGGGUUCGAUUCCGGAGAGGGAGCCUGAGAAACGGCUACCACUUCUAUGGAAGGCAGCAGGCGUGCAAAUUACCCAAUCCCAAAAUGGGGAGGUAGUGACAAGAAAUAACAGUACUGAAAUCAAAGUAUUUUGGUAAUUGGAAUGAGUGUAACUUAAAUCCUUUAACGAGGACUUAUUGGAGGGCAAGUCUGGUGCCAGCAGCCGCGGUAAUACCAGCUCCAAUAGCGUAUAUUAACUUUGCUGCAGUUAAAAAGCUCGUAGUCGGCUCUCUGAUUUAAAUUGCCCAACCCACUCUUAUAGAGUGCGCGUUGUAAGCGGUUAAAUCAUCCUUCUGGAUUGUCCUUCUGCCAUUAGCUUGGUUAGUUGGUUCAUCUAGUUCAUUUACUGUGAGUAAAUAAGCGUGUUCAAAGCAGGCAUUUGCUCGAAUUUUAAAGCAUGGAAUAAUAAUAUAGAACUUUAUUGUUCUAAUUGUUGGCCCUAGAACUAAAGUAAUGAUUGAAAGGGAUAGUUGGGGGUGCUCAUAUUCAGGGGGUAGCGGUGAAAUGCGAUGAUCCUCUGAAGAUGACCUAAAGCGAAAGCAUUCACCAAGGAUAUCUUCUUUGAUCAAGAACGAAAGUUGGGGGAUCGAAGACGAUCAGAUACCGUCGUAGUCUCAACCAUAAAUGAUGCCGACUAGCGAUUGGUGAUCGUUGGCUUAUAUGACCCAUCAGCAGCUUCAGAGAAAUCAAAGUCUUUGGGCUCUGGGGGGAGUAUGGUCGCAAGUCUGAAACUUAAAGGAAUUGACGGAAGGGCACCACCAGGAGUGGAGCCUGCGGCUUAAUUUGACCCAACACGGGAAAACUUACCAGGUCCAGACAUUUUAAGGAUUGACAGAUUAAGGAUCUUUCUUGAUUCUGUGGAUUGUGGUGCAUGGCCGUUCUCUUGGUGGAGUGAUUUGUCUGGUUAAUUCCGAUAACGAGCGAGACCUCAGCUUACUAAUUAGUCACAGGAAUCUUCGGAUUCCUAUUUUAACAAGUGGCUUCUUAGAGGGACUAUCGGCAAUUAGCCGAAGGAAGUUUGAGGCAAUAACAGGUCUGUGAUGCCCUUAGAUGUCCUGGGCCGCACGCGUGCUACAAUGAUGCAUGCAGUAAGUUUUCAAGCCGCAAAAUGGUAUUCCUUAUUUGGCAGAAUUGGGUAAUCUUGUAAAAUGCAUCAUGUUUGGGAUUAAUGAUUGUAAUUUUUCAUUACCAACGAGGAAUUCCUAGUAAGCGCAAGUCAUCAACUUGCAUUGAUUACGUCCCUGCCCUUUGUACACACCGCCCGUCGCUUCUACCGAUGAAUGAUCCGGUAAACAGUUUGGAUCUGUGGCCUUCCUUUGGAGUUCUCUCCAUCAGGCUUUCAGAGAAGAUCUGUAAAUUGUAUCAUUUAGAGGAAGAAGAAGUCGUAACAAGGUU
rnacentral:rRNA from 1 species